AUGUUGAGAAAAUUGGCCAUUCUAGGAAAAGGGUGGUAUGGAUUCACACAUAGCCGUGAUCCAGAUAGCGUAUCGAGGAAAAUUCAAUCCCGGUCUCUUGCACCUAUCCUAAAAGCAUGGGUAUCAUACUAUCAUCAUAACUUCGAUACCAACAUAAGAGGUUCAGAGUUAACCACUUUGAGGGCUUUGGGAAUUUAUUAUCUACUGGAUAAUCAAUCUGUUAACUUGGGGAAAACUAUUGCGGAGGACAUGGAUGCCAUUGUCUAA